GAUGGCUUCUAAGCCUGAUGAAUUUUGCUUUGGUGAAGAAUUCCAUCAGGAGGUAGAGUUGGUGGGAUGCCUUUGUUUUGUUGAUCAAAUGGUGGUGCAAUUACUUGAGAUUUGAUUGUCAGGACUCAAGCAAGAAUUCAGGACUCUUCCCAGCCAGCUGCUUACAAUUUAGGUCGACCUGUUCAUCAUCUACAGAUUUUACCAAUCUUGGCCAUUUCUUAUUGUUACUACUUGUAUUUGGCACAUCAAAGGUCUCAAUCUUUUCAUAUGAAAAGCCAUUGUAUGAAUUUAUUUUUCCGUCUGUGAGCUUAUAUUGUUUGAAUUUGAACUUAUUUGGCAUUUAUCUAGACUUAUUGACCCUUAUUUGAA